UGGGGAACCUGCCCCAUAGUCUGGGAUACCACUUGGAAACAGGUGCUAAUACCGGAUAAGAAAGCGGAUCGCAUGAUCAGCUUUUAAAAGGCGGCGUAAGCUGUCGCUAUGGGAUGGCCCCGCGGUGCAUUAGCUAGUUGGUAAGGUAAAGGCUUACCAAGGCGAUGAUGCAUAGCCGAGUUGAGAGACUGAUCGGCCACAUUGGGACUGAUACACGGCCCAAACUCCUACGGGAGGCAGCAGCC
rnacentral:rRNA from 1 species